AUUGAACGCUGGCGGCAUGCUUUACACAUGCAAGUCGAACGGUAACAGGCCGCAAGGUGCUGACGAGUGGCGAACGGGUGAGUAAUGCAUCGGAACGUGCCCAGCCGUGGGGGAUAACUACUCGAAAGAGAAGCUAAUACCGCAUACGAUCUAUGGAUGAAAGCGGGGAACAGUAAGGCGUCGCGCGAUUGGAGCGGCCGAUGUGAGAGUAGGUAGUUGGGGGGGUAAAGGCUCACCAAGCAAACGAUUUGUAGCUGGUGUGAGAGGACGACAGGCCAAACUGGGACUCAGACACGGCCCAGACUCCCACGGGAGGCAGCAGUGGGGAAUUUUGGACAAUGGGCGCAAGCCUGAUCCAGCAAUGCCGCGUGCAGGAAGAAGGCCUUCGGGUUGUAAACUGCUUUUGUACGGAACGAAACGGCUCUGGUUAAUACCCGGGGCUAAUGACGGUACCGUAAGAAUAAGCACCGGCUAACUACGU
rnacentral:rRNA from 1 species